GGGUCGAUGAUGAACCUUAUAUUGUUGAAGAGAGUGAUGACAUAAAAUAUGCUCAUAGGAUUACGCUGAGGCCC
rnacentral:snoRNA from 1 species